rnacentral:rRNA from 1 species
GAGUUUGAUCCUGGCUCAGAUUGAACGCUGGCGGCGUGCUUAACACAUGCAAGUCGAGCGGUAACGCGGGGGCAACCCUGGCGACGAGCGGCGAACGGGUGAGUAAUGCUUCGGAAUCUUCCUCGUAGUGGGGAAUAACCUGGGGAAACUCAGGCUAAUACCGCAUACGAACUACGGUUGAAAGCGGGGGAUCGCAAGACCUCGCGCUAUGAGAUGAGCCGAAGUCGGAUUAGCUAGUUGGUGAGGUAACGGCUCACCAAGGCGACGAUCCGUAGCUGGUCUGAGAGGACGACCAGCCACACUGGGACUGAGACACGGCCCAGACUCCUACGGGAGGCAGCAGUGGGGAAUAUUGGACAAUGGGGGCAACCCUGAUCCAGCGACGCCGCGUGUGUGAAGAAGGCCUGCGGGUUGUAAAGCACUUUUAGUGGGGAUGAAAAGCCGAGGGCUAAUACUCUUCGGUCUUGACCUAACCCCAAAGAAAAAGCAACCGGCUAACUCUGUGCCAGCAGCCGCCGUAAG